UUCCAGACUCCUACGGGAGGCAGCAGUGGGGAAUAUUGCGCAAUGGGCGAAAGCCUGACGCGGCGACGCCGCGUGAGGGAUGAAGGUCUUCGGAUCGUAAACCUCUGUCAGCAGGGAAGAACGGUCACUGUGCUAAUCAGCAGUGAAUUGACGGUACCUGCAAAGGAAGCACCGGCUAACUCCGUGCCAGCAGCCGCGGUAAUACGGAGGGUGCGAGCGUUAUCCGGAUUUAUUGGGUUUAAAGGGUGCGUAGGCGGACAGUCAAGUCAGCGGUAAAAAUGCGGUGCUCAACGCCGUACAGCCGUUGAAACUGGCAGUCUUGAGUGGGCGAGAAGUAUGCGGAAUGCGUGGUGUAGCGGUGAAAUGCAUAGAUAUCACGCAGAACUCCGAUUGCGAAGGCAGCAUACCGGCGCCCUACUGACGCUGAGGCACGAAAGCGUGGGUAUCGAACAGGAUUAGAUACCCGCGUAAC
rnacentral:rRNA from 1 species